UGCCCGUUAUCUUCCAGAACAACUUCAGGCUUCUUGGGGUGGGGAUUGAGUCAUAUUUCCUCAGUGCCUCCACAGUGUCUCAGACGGAGGAAUCAUUGAGAGCUGCUUUAAACCGAGAACAGCGGCUGUACGACACUCCUAAACACACAGCCGGAUUGCCCACUCCGCCAGCGGGCACUCCUGCUGGAAGGGCCCCAGCUGUGAGCUCAGCAACUUUGCUAUUUUCCAUAACCUUCGUUCUGAUGCCCCGCAUCACUCUGGAUCAUGGGCUAAAAUUUCUGAAGCCAGAGCAAUGGAAACCUUUUCUCUCUGGAAGCUGAUUGCCUCGGGCAUUGGUUACGAAAUGUCUGAAAUUUUCUCUGGCAGCCUGAUCCUCAGCAAAUUACUGGAAGAAGAGAAUGUUCUCAAAUGCAGACCGAUGAAGGCAAAAGUGUUCAGAAUUAGAAUUAGCACCUAGGAACAGGACAACACGUAUUUGCAGAAACGCACAAACAGUCCAGACCAGACCACCCUGAACAAGCCUGAUCUCUUCAGGGUCUGGAGCGAGUCUCUGCAGGGACGGAGCAGCCAAUUGUGUGGAGAUGCAGCACCUGUGGCAGCCGCUGCCGUCACAUUAGGACAAAGCGCUAA